GCAUGAAGUCGGAAUUGCUAGUAAUCGCGGAUCAGCAUGCCGCGGUGAAUACGUUCCCGGGCCCUUGUACACACCGCCCGUCACACCAUGAGAGCCGGGGGCGCCUGAAGUCCGGGACCGCGAGGACCGGCCUAGGGCGAAACUGGUAACUGGGGCUAAGUCGUAACAAGGUACC
rnacentral:rRNA from 1 species